ACACUCCUGCGGGAGGCAGCAGUGGGGAAUAUUGGACAAUGGGCGCAAGCCUGAUCCAGCCAUGCCGCGUGAGUGAUGAAGGCCCUAGGGUUGUAAAGCUCUUUCACCGGUGAAGAUAAUGACGGUAACCGGAGAAGAAGCCCCGGCUAACUUCGUGCCAGCAGCCGCGGUAAUACGAAGGGGGCUAGCGUUGUUCGGAUUUACUGGGCGUAAAGCGCACGUAGGCGGACUAUUAAGUCAGGGGUGAAAUCCCGGGGCUCAACCCCGGAACUGCCUUUGAUACUGGUAGUCUUGAGUUCGAUAGAGGUGAGUGGAAUUCCGAGUGUAGAGGUGAAAUUCGUAGAUAUUCGGAGGAACACCAGUGGCGAAGGCGGCUCACUGGCUCGAUACUGACGCUGAGGUGCGAAAGCGUGGGGAGCAAACAGGAUUAGAAACCCUUGUAGUCCCAUGAU
rnacentral:rRNA from 1 species